UUAAUAAGCGGAGGAAAAGAAACUAACAAGGAUUCCCUCAGUAACGGCGAGUGAAGCGGGAAGAGCUCAAAUUUGAAAUCUCCGAUGCUUGCAUCGGCGAGUUGUAGUUGCGAGAAGCACUUUCUAGGUGGAUCGCUGGUGCCUAAGUUGCUUGGAACAGCACGUCGCAGAGGGUGACAACCCCGUCUGUGGCGCCAGCGGCCGCUGACGAUGUGCUUUCGAAGAGUCGGGUUGUUUGGGAAUGCAGCCCAAAAUGGGUGGUAAACUCCAUCUAAAGCUAAAUACUGGCGUGAGACCGAUAGCGA
rnacentral:rRNA from 3 species